rnacentral:sRNA from 1 species
UCCUUUUUGGAGAGAAGCUGGAGACUCCGACGAAGUGAGAACUCCCGUGCAACGCUGCUCUUGUUGAAAUUUUCAGCUAGAGACACCCAGAUCUGACGAGAGGUGCUCAGAUUGUGGACAUGACCAAGGACUUCUUCAGACAACGUGCCAAAGAGCCAUGACCGAAUUAGCUGAUCGGUACAGAACCAAGCUUCAUACAGAGGAUUUGGUUCUUCACAGGUGACUUCACCGUUGACGACAAGGCGAGUCGGAGACGGAGCAUUGACGACGCCGUUCACAAAACCAAUGAGUUUCUGACUGGACAACAGAGACUCAAACUGUGUUUUCCACAAGAGAUAGUUACUGUCUGUCAGCUUGAGAGUGACAGAGCUAGUAACAUAAACAUUAUCCGGGAAAGGAUAGGAGGUUGCCAUUGUUUCACCUGUUAAGGUUUAAUGGCUCUGAUACCAUGUAAGUUAAGAGAGAAUUUGAGAGUUUCUGUAAAAUGAUUUUAUUCACACUGAUUUACAUUAGGGUUUUACAUUUCCUUUAUAUAGACAAAUUUGGAACAAUCUAGAAUAAGCUAGUGUAGCUGGUGAGUCAUCAUCAAAGGAUCGACGCUCCUCCUCUGUACGUUUGAUGCUCUGUUUUUGAGCUGGAGGAUCUUUUGUCUCCUUCUGUUGACUCUUCUGUUGACUGGACUUUGUUGGGCCUGAUUCCUUAUUUGUUAUUGGGCAUGUUUGGUGUUUGUUCCUUACACCGACAAUAUUUGGGAUGAUCAAGCCCUGAAACUGAUAAUAGAGAAAGUGAUUUGAGCUCAGGGAAAAACAUACGCUCGACUUCAAGAGAAUAUGCGCCUGAUAGUGUGAGCUUAACCAGUGUCUUGCUAGUUAACAACUCUGUCUCUAUAUUAACACUAGAGCGGGGGUUGGCGUGCAAGUGUAGUUCCAGUAAACCGCGUUCCAAUGCAGUACAAAUCAACCGGCUGAGACAACGGUUCCCAUGAUCGUAUGCCUCAGGGAAAUUGACAUAUUUAUACAGACGAGACAGAGAGAACUUCUUCAUGUGAGAAUU